GUUACUGAACCUGUGACUUUUGUGGAAUGUGGUAGACAUGAUUGGUUUUCAUGUGUAUUACAGCUGCAGGCAGCUCGACAGGGUCAAGCGCAAGUGAAGGACCAGGUGCUGCUGAUCCAAGUCCCAUCCAUCCAUGAAACGGCAUCAAAAAAUGAUCUUCCAGAACAGUGCUUUCUUCACCCAAGUUCAAGAAGUAAAGAGAAUGACUUCAUGGCUUCUACUGACAUCUCACAGCUACAUGCCAAGACAAAAUAACUUGAAAGAAUGAAAAAAAAAGAAAAAAAGGUCAAUUUCAGGUCCACACAAAUCUUUGUGCAGAGGCUGACAACAACAACGUUAUUGUGAGAUGAUGCUGAUGCAGCGUUGAGAUUAAGCCCUUGUUUCCUUUUUUGCAAUGCUAUACAUUACUGCUGGUUAAAUGUAAAAUGAUGCACCUACCUCCAGACAUUAAAGGGUCUACCAGAGAUGUAGUGUCAAUUCAACAGAAAAGCUGCAUGUUCUACGAGGCACUGUCACAUAAGCAUUGG